rnacentral:tRNA from 1 species
GCAGAAGUGGCGGAAUUGGCAGACGCGCACGGUUCAGGUCCGUGUGGUAGCAAUACCCUGAGGGUUCAAGUCCCUUCUUCUGCA